AAUACUUGAAUUAAAAUAAACAAUUAAAGGUCAAACUUCAAACCCAUUUCAAAUCAACUUUGAAAAGUCCAAAUGGAUCAUCCUAAGUUCAACAAGGUCAAACAAAGUUUGACAAAAAAUUUCAGCAUUUUUAAAAACCAGAAACUAUUUUUAAUCAAUUAAAAAUGAAUAAAAAAUAACCUAAUUGAACUAAAAUCUCA
rnacentral:lncRNA from 1 species